rnacentral:rRNA from 1 species
UGGGGAAUUUUGGACAAUGGGCGAAAGCCUGAUCCAGCAAUGCCGCGUGUGUGAAGAAGGCCUUCGGGUUGUAAAGCACUUUUGUCCGGAAAGAAAUCCUUGGCUCUAAUACAGUCGGGGGAUGACGGUACCGGAAGAAUAAGCACCGGCUAACUACGUGCCUGCAGCCGCGGUAAUACGUAGGGUGCAAGCGUUAAUCGGAAUUACUGGGCGUAAAGCGUGCGCAGGCGGUUUGCUAAGACCGAUGUGAAAUCCCCGGGCUCAACCUGGGAACUGCAUUGGUGACUGGCAGGCUAGAGUAUGGCAGAGGGGGGUAGAAUUCCACGUGUAGCAGUGAAAUGCGUAGAGAUGUGGAGGAAUACCGAUGGCGAAGGCAGCCCCCUGGGCCAAUACUGACGCUCAUGCACGAAAGCGUGGGGAGCAAAACAGGAUUAGAUACCCUGGUAGUCCACGCCCUAAAACGAUGUCAACUAGUUGUUGGGGAUUCAUUUCCUUAGUAACGUAGCUAACGCGUGAAGUUGACCGCCUGGGGAGUACGGUCGCAAGAUUAAAAACUCAAAGGAAUUGACGGGGUCAUAGCUGUUUCCU